CACAGGGAGGUAGUGACAAGAAAUAACAAUACGGGGCUUAAAGUCUUGUAAUUGGAAUGAUGGGAAUCUAAACCCCUUCCAGAGUAUCAAUUGGAGGGCAAGUCUGGUGCCAGCAGCCGCGGUAAUUCCAGCUCCAAUAGCGUAUAUUAAACUUGUUGCAGUUAAAAAGCUCGUAGUUGAACUUCUGCUGUCAGGUUUUCGUUCCUUUCGGGGUUUCGUCAACCUGGUGGCUUUUUUCUGGGUGAAUUUAGCUUCGGCUUAAUUUCCCAGUAUUUUACUUUGAGAAAAUUAGAGUGCUUCAAGCAGGCUUUUGCCGUGAAUACUUCAGCAUGGAAUAAUAAAGUAGGACUUUGGUUCUAUUUUGUUGGUUUCUGAACCAAAGUAAUGGUUAAUAGGAACAGUUGGGGGCAUUCGUAUUUAACUGUCAGAGGUGAAAUUCUU
rnacentral:rRNA from 1 species